CCUACGGGAGGCUGCAGUGAGGAAUAUUGGUCAAUGGACGCAAGUCUGAACCAGCCAUGCCGCGUGCAGGAUGACGGCUCUAUGAGUUGUAAACUGCUUUUGUACGAGGGUAAACCCCGAUACGUGUAUCGGGUUGAAAGUAUCGUACGAAUAAGGAUCGGCUAACUCCGUGCCAGCAGCCGCGGUAAUACGGAGGAUCUGAGCGUUAUCCGGAUUUAUUGGGUUUAAAGGGUGCGUAGGCGGUUUGAUAAGGUAGAGGUGAAAUGUCGGGGCUCAACCCCGAAACUGCCUCUAAUACUGUUGGACUAGAGAAUACGUGCGGUAGGCGGAAUGUAUGGUGUAGCGGUGAAAUGCUUAGAGAUCAUACAGAACACCGAUUGCGAAGGCAGCGUACCAAACUAUAUCUGACGUUGAGGCACGAAAGCGUGGGUAGCGAACAGGAUUAGAUACCCGGGUAGUC
rnacentral:rRNA from 1 species